AUUGAACGCUGGCGGCAGGCCUAACACAUGCAAGUCGAACGAGUGGCGGACGGGCGAGCAAUGUCUGGGAAACUGCCUGAUGGAGGGGGCUAACUACUGGAAACGGUAGCUAAUACCGCAUACCAUCAGAUGUGCCCAGAUGGGAUUAGCUAGUUGUGGGGGUAACGGCUCACCAAGGCGACGAUCCCUAGCUGGUCCGAGAGGAUGACCAGCCACACUGGAACUGAGACACGGUCCAGACUCCUACGGGAGGCAGCAGUGGGGAAUAUUGCACAAUGGGCGCAAGCCUGAUGCAGCCAUGCCGCGUGAAUGAAGAAGGCCUUCGGGUUGUAAAGUACUUUCGGCGGGGAGGCGUUACCCGCAGAAGAAGCACCGGCUAACUACGUGCCAGCAGCCGCGGUAAUUC
rnacentral:rRNA from 1 species